rnacentral:sRNA from 1 species
UCGUCGAUCUGCUGCGGGCAGAUGAAGUGGAUAUGCGCGUCAAAGCCCCCCGCCGUGACGAUGCGCCCCUCGCCCGCGAUGGCCUCGGUCCCCGGUCCGAUGAUGAUGUCGACAUUCGGCUGGGUAUCGGGGUUGCCCGCCUUGCCGAUGGCGGCGAUGCGCCCGUCUUUGAGCCCGAUAUCGGCCUUGGUGAUGCCGGUAUGGUCCACGAUCAGCGCAUUGGUGAUGACCGUGUCCACCGCCCCGCCCGCGCGGGUGACCUGAGACUGCCCCAUGCCGUCGCGG